rnacentral:rRNA from 1 species
UACAGAGGUGGCAGGCGUUGUUCGGAAUUACUGGGCGUAAAGGGCGCGUAGGCGGCCCGUCAAGUCCCGUGUGAAAGCCCCCGGCUCAACCGGGGAACGGCGCAGGAAACUAGCAGGCUUGAGUUCGGGAGAGGGAAGCGGAAUUCCGGGUGUAGCGGUGAAAUGCGCAGAUAUCCGGAGGAACACCGGUGGCGAAGGCGGCUUCCUGGACCGACACUGACGCUGAGGCGCGAAAGCUAGGGGAGCAAACGGG